UACAGGGGGGGGCAAGCGUUGUUCGGAAUUACUGGGCGUAAAGGGCCAGUAGGCGGCCAACUAAGUCCGACGUGAAAUCCCCAGGCUUAACCGGGGAACUGCAUCUGAUACUGGAUGGCUUGAGUUUGGGAGAGGGAUGCGGAAUUCCAGGUGUAGCGGUGAAAUGCGUAGAUAUCUGGAGGAACACCGGUGGCGAAGGCGGCAUCCUGGACCAACACUGACGCUGAGGAGCGAAAGCCAGGGGAGCAAACGGG
rnacentral:rRNA from 1 species